rnacentral:rRNA from 1 species
CCCUGAUGCACAAGGUACCCAAUUUGUACUUUUAAAAUUUUAAAAUUCUAAAAUUUUUUCAUUUUCCCUUUACAGUAUAUAAAAUUAAUUACUCUUAUAAACAUACAAAGUUAAGUAUAAUUUUUUAAUAAAUCCUUAUUUUUAAAAAAUUUUUUUAAAAU